rnacentral:lncRNA from 1 species
GGCAAACCAAAAGGGUUGUCUGUUUUUAAAAUAUUUAAAAAUAUAAUUAACCCAUCAAAGUAGGCUAAAUAUGCAAAAUAACUACUUUUCUAAACUCUUGCAAAAAAUCAAAAAAAUAUAAUGAAUGGGAAAUGUCUUUGUAAUGCCACUAAAUUUUUUAAGGGAUCAAAUUAAAAUGUGGAAUAAUAUUAAUAAGAUUAAUGAAAAUUAACAAGGACAUAAAAAAGUGUCUUAAAAUUUUUCUAGAGGGAAUGUUCCCAAGUUAAUUUAUAGAUUUGUUCCAAAUCUCAAAAGAGAAUUUUGGUGAGGUUUUAAAUGUAAAAUUCUAGCACUUAAAAAAAAAAAAAAGAGGCAUUGGAGAAAAGAGAAAAUAAUUAUAAGAUAAAUGAGAUUGCCCUAACAUAUAAAAAGUUGCAUGUUGACAUUGUAAUGGAGAACAUGAUUAUAUAUUUGAAAAAAUUUAGAAUCUGAGUCAAUAGUUUAGAAAUAUACUAGUAUGUGGAUUACAUAUUAUAUAUAAUAUACUCAGUAAAUAUGCACAUAUACUUCACAUAUAAUGAAGAUCUAUGAAUAGAAGGAUUGUUCAGUAAAUGGUGGUACUCAGAUAAUAACUCUUGGGUAAAAAACAAAAUUAGGCCUUUAUCUCGUGAUCUAAAUCAUAAAAUACAUGUUGGUGAAAGCACAAGUUUUCAAUUCCUGUUCCCUGUACAGGAAUUUAACUACAUAAGAAUUUUAAAACUGGGGGGAAAUUAUGGAAACCAGACAAAAAAGAAGAAAAAUAUUUGCCAUGAUGAUAAAAGUAUUAAUAUGAAUUAAUCAAAUGAGUACAAAGCUUAAAAAUUUACAAAGAACAUGAAACAAGGAAACAACAUUAUUAUUAUUAUUAUUAUUAGUUGUUGAUAGACCUUUAUUUUAUUUAUUUAUAUGUG